CUCCGUGCGGCUGAUGACAACGCUGCUGCUGAGACUCUGUGAUUGGUCAGUCUCAAAGUAAACGCUCUGACGCACGGUGG